rnacentral:rRNA from 1 species
ACACUAUCAUUAACUGAAUCCAUAGGUUAAUGAGGCGAACCGGGGGAACUGAAACAUCUAAGUACCCCGAGGAAAAGAAAUCAACCGAGAUUCCCCCAGUAGCGGCGAGCGAACGGGGAGCAGCCCAGAGCCUGAAUCAGUGUGUGUGUUAGUGGAAGCGUCUGGAAAGGCGCGCGAUACAGGGUGACAGCCCCGUACACAAAAAUGCACAUGCUGUGAGCUCGAUGAGUAGGGCGGGACACGUGGUAUCCUGUCUGAAUAUGGGGGGACCAUCCUCCAAGGCUAAAUACUCCUGACUGACCGAUAGUGAACCAGUACCGUGAGGGAAAGGCGAAAAGAACCCCGGCGAGGGGAGUGAAAAAGAACCUGAAACCGUGUACGUACAAGCAGUGGGAGCACGCUUAGGCGUGUGACUGCGUACCUUUUGUAUAAUGGGUCAGCGACUUAUAUUCUGUAGCAAGGUUAACCGAAUAGGGGAGCCGAAGGGAAACCGAGUCUUAACUGGGCGUUAAGUUGCAGGGUAUAGACCCGAAACCCGGUGAUCUAGCCAUGGGCAGGUUGAAGGUUGGGUAACACUAACUGGAGGACCGAACCGACUAAUGUUGAAAAAUUAGCGGAUGACUUGUGGCUGGGGGUGAAAGGCCAAUCAAACCGGGAGAUAGCUGGUUCUCCCCGAAAGCUAUUUAGGUAGCGCCUCGUGAAUUCAUCUCCGGGGGUAGAGCACUGUUUCGGCAAGGGGGUCAUCCCGACUUACCAACCCGAUGCAAACUGCGAAUACCGGAGAAUGUUAUCACGGGAGACACACGGCGGGUGCUAACGUCCGUCGUGAAGAGGGAAACAACCCAGACCGCCAGCUAAGGUCCCAAAGUCAUGGUUAAGUGGGAAACGAUGUGGGAAGGCCCAGACAGCCAGGAUGUUGGCUUAGAAGCAGCCAUCAUUUAAAGAAAGCGUAAUAGCUCACUGGUCGAGUCGGCCUGCGCGGAAGAUGUAACGGGGCUAAACCAUGCACCGAAGCUGCGGCAGCGACGCUUAUGCGUUGUUGGGUAGGGGAGCGUUCUGUAAGCCUGCGAAGGUGUGCUGUGAGGCAUGCUGGAGGUAUCAGAAGUGCGAAUGCUGACAUAAGUAACGAUAAAGCGGGUGAAAAGCCCGCUCGCCGGAAGACCAAGGGUUCCUGUCCAACGUUAAUCGGGGCAGGGUGAGUCGACCCCUAAGGCGAGGCCGAAAGGCGUAGUCGAUGGGAAACAGGUUAAUAUUCCUGUACUUGGUGUUACUGCGAAGGGGGGACGGAGAAGGCUAUGUUGGCCGGGCGACGGUUGUCCCGGUUUAAGCGUGUAGGCUGGUUUUCCAGGCAAAUCCGGAAAAUCAAGGCUGAGGCGUGAUGACGAGGCACUACGGUGCUGAAGCAACAAAUGCCCUGCUUCCAGGAAAAGCCUCUAAGCAUCAGGUAACAUCAAAUCGUACCCCAAACCGACACAGGUGGUCAGGUAGAGAAUACCAAGGCGCUUGAGAGAACUCGGGUGAAGGAACUAGGCAAAAUGGUGCCGUAACUUCGGGAGAAGGCACGCUGAUAUGUAGGUGAAGUCCCUUGCGGAUGGAGCUGAAAUCAGUCGAAGAUACCAGCUGGCUGCAACUGUUUAUUAAAAACACAGCACUGUGCAAACACGAAAGUGGACGUAUACGGUGUGACGCCUGCCCGGUGCCGGAAGGUUAAUUGAUGGGGUCAGCGCAAGCGAAGCUCUUGAUCGAAGCCCCGGUAAACGGCGGCCGUAACUAUAACGGUCCUAAGGUAGCGAAAUUCCUUGUCGGGUAAGUUCCGACCUGCACGAAUGGCGUAAUGAUGGCCAGGCUGUCUCCACCCGAGACUCAGUGAAAUUGAACUCGCUGUGAAGAUGCAGUGUACCCGCGGCAAGACGGAAAGACCCCGUGAACCUUUACUAUAGCUUGACACUGAACAUUGAGCCUUGAUGUGUAGGAUAGGUGGGAGGCUUUGAAGUGUGGACGCCAGUCUGCAUGGAGCCGACCUUGAAAUACCACCCUUUAAUGUUUGAUGUUCUAACGUUGACCCGUAAUCCGGGUUGCGGACAGUGUCUGGUGGGUAGUUUGACUGGGGCGGUCUCCUCCUAAAGAGUAACGGAGGAGCACGAAGGUUGGCUAAUCCUGGUCGGACAUCAGGAGGUUAGUGCAAU